UAACGCGAAGAACCUUACCAGGUCUUGACAUCUUUUGAUAGCCUAAGAGAUUAGGUGUUCCCUUCGGGGACAGAAUGACAGGUGGUGCAUGGUUGUCGUCAGCUCGUGUCGUGAGAUGUUGGGUUAAGUCCCGCAACGAGCGCAACCCUUAUUGUCAGUUGCCAGCAUUAAGUUGGGCACUCUGGCAAGACUGCCGGUGACAAACCGGAGGAAGGUGGGGAUGACGUCAAAUCAUCAUGCCCCUUAUGACCUGGGCUACACACGUGCUACAAUGGACGAUACAACGAGUCGCUAGACCGCGAGGUUAAGCUAAUCUCUGAAAGUCGUUCUCAGUUCGGAUUGCAGGCUGCAACUCGCCUGCAUGAAGUCGGAAUCGCUAGUAAUCGCGGAUCAGC
rnacentral:rRNA from 1 species